UAUUUAAGUACAUAUAAACAAGCCCACAACCUAGCAUAAUAAAAAUCACAUUAGCCCAUCCAAUUUUCCCCCUUUGUCCUAGUUUCUUUUUGAUGGGAGGAGGCGUUGUGAGAUAAUAAUAGCAGGAAAUAAGGUGGAGCAGCUGCACAGGCAAGAUGAGGUACAGUGCUUGUGUUUCACCUCCAUUCCAGCCCUCUGCUGGCUAAGUCUUGGUGAAAAUGAGAUUAGCUGUUUGGGGAGCCCUAACAGUUAUCAAAACCUUUGGAAUCAAAAUGUGGUCCCUUACUGUCUCACUU
rnacentral:lncRNA from 1 species